rnacentral:rRNA from 1 species
CCUGUUUUAUUGCCAUUUAUUAAAACAGGCACCAAGAUACUUCGAUACCGAUUGGUAAAACUGAAGAACACGUAUCUUAGGUGAUCAGUCGAAACUCAUUCUUAAGUAAUCGGGUUCAGAGUAGUAGACCUGCUCUACCAUUCAAAACGACACUUCUAUAAUGUGAAUGCUCCCUCACAUGUACUCCAUGAACUCUCGUCCCUUCUGUACCUUCUGCGCGAAACCGUGGUCGAGUUUUAACGUCACGGGGUAUAACAAGUACUUCAGCUACAUGCACUACAUGUUCUGUUGUCGGUCCUGUCUUGGUGUCGGGUAUUUUUAACCACAGUAGUACCCCUAGCUUUUAUCGUCCUUUAUUUGGUGCACAAGUCGUUUACCUACCUACUGUCGACGGUUAAUAUUCCAAUACCCGAGACACUGCUACCUCCGCACCACCACACUCACCAUCGCUCUCAUCUCCUUUACCACCACGUCGCGGGACACCUUGGUCAUCAUGUCCUUGAGCUGUCCAGGAUACACUUCGUUCCGCCACUACUACCGAGGCAGACAAGAGGUGUGGCCGUACGCUGACUGUAAGCCCUGCCGACGCAUCCGGUCCAUCUUCUUGUCGGG